UUUGUGUUUUUUUCUAUUAUGGUUGAUUUACAAUGUUCCGUCAAUUUCUGAUGUACAGCAAAGUAACACAGUCAUAAAUAUAUAUAUAUAUAUUCUUUUUCUCACAGAAUCCUCCACCCUCCCUCUCUCUCUCUGAGCUCAGAAUUCUCACUCUGGGGAAAUGUAAGCUGCCCUGGGGAGAGGCUUUCAUUAGGAUCUCACAACCAACCAUCUGUGAGAAGCUGAAUCCUGCCGGCCUCCACCUGAGUGGGCUUUGGGAGAAGACCCUUCCGAAUUAGCCUUGAUAUGACCGUACCCCUGGCCAACAUCUUGCCUGCAGUGCUGGGAAAAGUCUUGAGCCAGAGGACUCAGCUGCGCCACACAGAGACUCCUGCCCCACAGAAGUGGGGCAUAAUAAAUGUGCCUUACUAUGAUCAUUAAGCCACUGAGUUUGGGGAUAAUUUGUUACACAGCAACAGAUCCCUGAAACACUGUGAGAAAUGAGGUAAUUAUGUCACCUUACAGUUCCUCUGCUUCCUCCCCUGUAAAAUGGAGAUCAUUAAGAACCCCUUCAUAGGGCAGAGGAAGCAUUUAAAUUCUUAAACGAUGGUAUGGCAUGUACUACCAAACAGCACAACAUUACUGUUUGUUGUUUCUAAUGUCUGUUUCUAAUUAUUUGAUCAUUUUACGGUUAAUGGACUUUAUGUCCUCCUUACUCCACAAGACUGAGGACCCCGCUGCAACGAACCUCGGCGCUGAUCAGUCAGUCCAUCAGUAGAGAGAAAGGAAGGCAUAGUGGGAGCUACUCUCUUGGGCUAAUCCUUGGAGUGGAGUCUGCACAUGUAAGUGUUAAAGAAGAACACCAAAUUGCUUCGUAAAAGACGGAGCAGUUGGAGCUCCACUCUGCUGGCUGGGGUUAACUCUUUCCUCACACAAGCACACCAUCAAUCUUCUUGAUCUUCGUCAAUACAGCAUAUACUCGUCAUGUUAAGUUACAUGGUUUUGCGAAGUGUUGCACUUUUUGGUUGUAUUUGCUUAGUUGGAGCAUCUUUUCAAGAUUGUAUCGGUAAUCUGUACUUAUUCUUUGGCGAAUACUCUGCGUAUAUUCUUUUUUCAUGUAUCUACUGGACAUUCUGCCUUUUUCUUCUUCGUCUGCCAAAGCCCUUUGGGUCCUAAAAAGUGUUUCUAUAUUCUGCUUUACAAAACUCUAUUUUUUGUUGUUGCUCUUGUUUAAAUCAGGAGUAUAUGUUGAAUAUUAUGAGCUAGAUUUUCAUCGUCUAUUGAGAUGAUCACACUUUUUUUCUCCUAUAAAAGUUUUCUGUAGCUUUUAAGGACUUGGUUUCCUAAAUUUCAAAAUUCCUCCUUAUGGAUAAUACACUAUUUUGGGUAAAGAUAAAGAAUAUUACUGGAACUUAAAAGACCAAGGAAAAAGCCUUUAAUUUUUGUUUAAGUGCUUAAAUUUGGUCCAUAGUUUGAAAAUAUGUAAAGAUCACUGGUGCCUUUCUCAAAGUUAACUGCAAAUGUAGGACUUAAAACAUAUUAUCUCUCAGGCAGAAAACCAGGAAACCACAAUGCUAAGGGAUUUACAAAUUAUGUAACACUCUGUUAUGAAACUCUAAAAAUCUAAUGAAAUGCUUUUAGAAUGUGAGAAAGUUAUAGAACUGUUCAUCUCAAAACACAGAUGUUUUCUUAAAAGAAUUUUUGCCAGAAAAAUACUAAAAAAUAUUUGACACAUUUAUCCUAAAGAAUUACAAUGUGAAAUUUAGCUCCACUGCUAAGCUUCCUCAAUUAAAUAGCUGACAGAGAUUAUUUAUUAAUUCAUAUCUAGACUGAGAGAGGCCUCUUCAUUACUGAAAGGACCUACUGGAGACAGAGAUAAAGUGAGAGUGCAGUUGAAGCCCAUUAAAUCUUUUUUUUAAAUCAGGAAAUGAACCUGACUUGAAAGGUUACACCAUUUAUAAAUGUGAUCAUGCUUUUGCUAAAUAGAAUAACAGUGAACCAAUUCAUCCACCAGAAGGACAAUAGUCCCAACAGUUAGUGCUGUUUAAUUUGAGGGGAGUGGACUGGGCCAUGGUUUGAUAGAAUUCCCGGGCAUCUACUUUAGAUUUAUCAUUAUUGCAGAGAAUAAAAUUUAACACGGUGCAGACAAUGUUUCAAAAUUCUGCAACCUUUUUAGCAAAAGGUAAGCACGUUGGGUAAUUAGCUAGAAGAUACACUUCUAGAAACCAGAAGACAUUAAUUAAAAAGCUGUCAGUUUUCUAUGGAUGGUUUGGGUCAAGUGGGGACAAUUUUAAUGCUCCAUUACAUGAAAAAAGAUGUUCAAACAUUAUGUAAGGCACCCACUGAACGAGUGUGUGACCUCAGUUAUUUAUUGAAAAGACGUGUCUAGCAGUACUUUCAAGGACUGAGGGAGUGCGGGUAUGGAAAACGAAUAGCUGAAUGUCACCACGGGACCCCGCUUGGAAGGGAGCUGCAAAUAUGGUCAGAAGUCUUUGCUUGUCUGCAGUGAGAAUCCUUGGCUGAGAGUCCCCAGAUUUGGGUUCUAAUGUUGUCUCUGAAACUUAGGAACUGUGCCCUUGAGCAAGGAGCUAAUUCUCUCUUCAUCCUUGAUUGCAUCACCGUGAAAUGGGAAGAAGAAUCCAUGUACGUACUAUAGAGAUUGUUCACACCCAGGGGACAAGACUGCGUGAAUGCGAGUGGGUGUCAGUGACCACGUACGGGGGCCAGAAGAAGCUGCUCAAUGAGUAUGGGCAGCGUCCCCCAGCGGGGUGCAAGAAGACGGAUUUGGAGAAGAGAAAAGGAGAAAGGGGAUCACUUUCUGCUCCCACAGGCUAAGGCUGUAAGCGAUUCCUUCUCACCAAGGAAUCGACGCCGUCCUUUUCGAGAGGGUGGUGUUUUCCUGAGGAAUGAGCUUGUUUUCCUUGCUUAGGGAGAGGGUGCUCCUUCAUUGAGAAUAGUUGGGGGGUUGAAGGGAGAGAGUGGGGACAAAGACAGGGGAGGGGUGGGACCUGGAGGGAGCAAGUACCCAGAGCAACAGCAGCUGGGAAGGGAACUCCUGAUCUGUGACAGAGGGCUGGGUUCUGGGCGUCCUGUUCCAGAGAAGAACCUUGAAGAGGACAGAAACUUGGGUCCAGCUCCAGGCCAUUCCCAAGGCCAAAGAAAGCAGCUUUCGUAUGGUACAAAAUGUGCACAGCACGUUUUGUCUAUCUGUCCGCAUCGGAUGUUGUCUGUCAACCCUCAGCACUGCUGUUGCACUUCUAAACGCUUCCCUAAACUGCAGGGACCAAAAGCCUAUGGAACACAUUUCCCAGGCUGAUUUGUGGCCAGGUUCUGGUUUAUAUUUCACCAGUGAGAGGCACUUGAACAUGCUGUGGAAGGUGGACGGGAAAUCAUCGUUCGCUUCCAGAAGGCGGAUGUCAAACAUCCGAGUCCCGGGGAGCGAAUGACUGCUUCGGUUCUGCAGCAGCUGUAACCCCGGAUGGGCUCGAGCGCCUGGUUCCUGCUUGUCUCAAGUUCCUGAAAAGUAGCUGAGCUCUUCCCACUCUUCUAAAAAUCUGCAAGCACCUAAUUCGCUGUAUUAAAUUCCUUCUUGAUGGUGUCGUAACUGGCGGCAGAAAAGUUACCUCUUUUGUAAAUUUGUAUAUAAUUAUGUUUCCACUGGGCAAUUCACUUUCUUCUCUUAAUGUCUUUACAUCUGCCCUGAAGAACCCCACCCAAUGGAAACAACUGAACUUAGGUGGUCUAAAUUUGUGCCUGCCCAGGGGUUGUUAGAAUUUGGUGGUCCACUGGUUUAUCACGCUGAUUUCAUGACUUUAACGCUGUACCGAAUCCACAAGGAUCCUUUUAACACCAGCCCCUCACUCACUUAACAGAAAAUGGAACCAUGAACUGACAAGAUUCGGCCCUUGCUGAUGUGACACGCAACACUGGAGGUGGCUUAAGUGGCUAGAGGAUGCUGAUGCCACUACAGCUUUACACUGGGACUGUGGGCUGCUCAGUGUCCCUGCAGUUGAAUCAACCAUACUAGGCCUUCAGCUCCACCUCCCUGGAGUAAGAGGUUCCCAAACAUUUGUCCUCAGUGUGGCUGUCUGUAUCCACAAGAAGACAGCUAGAAAGUUCCUGGGGAAAGACAAUGAGAAAGAGGGAAGACAGAAGAGUGGGGAAAAAGAAGGGAGGGCAGGAUGGACCCCAGGGUCCAUUGCCCUGGUGACUCUACGAAGGCUCGGGGUAACUGCAGUUUCCUCAGUGGAGGGGGGGUGGGGUCUACAGUGGUCCUGAUGCAGCUCCCAGAGCCAGAGACUUCACUUGUUUUAGCCCAGAGAAAGGCCAGCUUUCCAUCCCCAGUGAGUUUUGUUCUAUCAUAAAGGAAGAAAAUAAAACAGGAGUUCCCGUUGUGGCUCAGCAGGUUAGAAUGCAACAUAGUGUCUGUGAGGAUGCUGGUUUGAUCCCCGGCUUCACUCAGUGGGUUAAGGAUCGGGCAUUGCCGUGACUGUGGUGUAGGUUGCAGAUGCAGUAUAGAUCCUGUAUUGCUGUGGCUAUGGUGCAGGCUGGCAGCUGCAGCUCUGAAUGGACCGCUAGCCUGAAACUUCCAUAUGCCGUGGAUGUGGACCCAAAAAGAAAAAAUAAAUAAAUAAAACAAUAUGAUGAACACUCAUCCUUGUUCUGUUUACUAUCCUUUUCCAAGGACUCAUUAUUGCUCAGUGAGACCCACUGUUCCUACCUGGGGAACAGAUAGGCAGAGGGGCUUUUGCUGUACCUGAGCAAGCCACAUCUGACCCUGAGGUUGGGUUUACUUUCACCUCUCAUAUCACAGGGAGGUGUUGCUUUCUUCUCCUUUUACAUUCUUUGAGCUGUUUCCCUGUAUUGAUUCAAGAUUCACAGCUUGUCAUGUAUUUGUGGACUGGUGGGGAAUGAGGAACACGGGACAACAACUGAGACUUGAUAGCCUGGAUAAGCCCAGUGCACGAGUUUGGAGCAGGUGUUGCUGGAGAGACCCAGCAGGUCGGCUGCAGGUCCAGCAAACCAGUGGAUGGAAUAGGUUGGACACGUGGGGAUAGAGGGUGGGGGCAUCUUAAUAAAUGCAGAGAGUGACAGUGGUGAGUCCAGGAGCAGGCAUGGUUAGAGCUCUGGGUGGUAUGAGACAGACAGGCAGGCGGGGAGGUGGGACAGUGGGUGGGUAGGGCCAGGAUUAGAUGGCUGAUCCCAAGCAGGUGAUCAAGGCAGAGAUCCAGUUUCCAGAAGAGGGGUGUUAAGGCAACACCCAAUCUUAGCAAAGGCUGUGAGCUAGAAUUCUGAAAUCAGAGUGGAAGUAGCCAUGAGGGUAAAGAAAUGAAGCUAAAUGCCUUGGCUACUGGACCAAGAUGGAGGGUCAGGCUUGAUGUCAGGAGCAGAUGAAACCGGCAAGGAUAUGGUGAAGAGGAUUAAGGGACCACGGAGGGAACUCUGGGGGACCAGAGAACCAAGGACCUUCCUGACUGGGCCACAUGUACCUCCCUAACUCCUGAGUUAUUUCAAUAUGAAACUUCCCACUUUGCUAGAGGGAAACAGGAGCAAAUUCACUUCAGGGAGUUCCCUUGGUCUCUUGAUUGUCUGCCCCCAUCCAGACUUAUCCUUUGAGUGGAAAGUGGGGUAUCUGCAGUGUGGGCCAUCUCUUGAUGGCCGGGGAAGAGUUGGCCUCGGUCAAUUCAAUAGGGAGGUCUGAAAUUGGUGUUGGAAAAAAAUAUGUCCUAGAAUUAACAUGCUCGAGGACUUGGGCUGGUCCCAUGCUGCGUGUUCUUCAUGGCACUUGGAAACAUAGGCCUUGGGGACUGUAGAGGGUCCUGGGACAUCACCUUGUCCUUGGGAGAGAAGGUGUGAGCAGGACCAAGGUGACACAUUCCAAGGCAAACCCUUGGGGUAGGAGGAGGCUCCAGAUGUGUCACCUGAGCAGCCUCACCAGAUGUACUGAGCCCACAAUUGCUUCUCAGUCUAUAAUUGAGCAAAUUGCAUGGAAAUUUGCAGAAAACUGCUGCAAAUCUCAGACUUUUUUCCUUACAGAUUUCUAAUCCAAAGACUCGGGUCCCUGUUGGCCCCACAAAGAGUCUAUAGCUUCUGCUAAGAAACCAUGUGAACAUAAAGUGGAUCCUUUCCCAGCUGAGCCUUCAAAUGAGAUCAAGCCCUGGCCAACAAGUGCAGUUUUGUGAGAGAUUCUAAAACCCAGCACUGAGCUAAGAUGUGCCCAGGCUCCUAACCCACAGAAGCCACGACAUAAUAAAUGUAUAUUAUUAAGUUGCUAAAAGAAAAGAAAAGAUUCUAUGGCAGGAUGGGAAGGUUUUGGAAGGUGGGUUGACACCAAGCGGAAGAGGACACUUCUGAGACCCUGGGGGGUAAGGGACAGCCAGGACCUCAGGUAGAAUGCAGCUUGUGGGUACAGAAGGACAACCUCCAAUAGUUUCUCGCAGACGGAGGGAGAUUCCUGAGCAAAAGCAAAACUGUUAUGCACCAAAUAGGGGUGGAGGCUUGGAUGUCUCCUGGGAAAACCGGAGUUGAGGAAACUUUGGUCUCAUGGGAAUGUGUUACAGCUAAGAGUAGGAAGGGCACGCGGAGGGGGGUGAGAGGAGGCAGCAGG
rnacentral:lncRNA from 1 species